rnacentral:rRNA from 1 species
CCUACGGGAGGCAGCAGUGGGGAAUAUUGCGCAAUGGGCGAAAGCCUGACGCCGCGACGCCGCGUGAGGGAUGAAGGUCUUCGGAUCGUAAACCUCUGUCAGCAGGGAAGAACGGUCACUGUGCUAAUCAGCAGUGAAUUGACGGUACCUGCAAAGGAAGCACCGGCUAACUCCGUGCCAGCCGCCGCGGUAAUACGGAGGGUGCGAGCGUUAAUCGGAAUUACUGGGCGUAAAGCGCUCGUAGGCGGUAUGUCAAGUCAAGGGUGAAAUCCCCGCGCUCAACGUGGGAACUGCCUUUGAAACUGGCAAACUGGAGUGUGUGAGAGGAUAGUGGAAUUCCAGGUGUAGGAGUGAAAUCCGUAGAUAUCUGGAGGAACAUCAGUGGCGAAGGCGACUAUCUGGCACAUAACUGACGCUGAGGAGCGAAAGCGUGGGUAGCAAACAGGAUUAGAUACCCCUGUAGUC